rnacentral:rRNA from 1 species
AUUCACCCCGUCGUCCACGUCUCGCAAUUGAAGCCCUUCACACCGGACUUCACGCCAGUAUACAGCAAGCUGCCCAAGGUGCCCGACCUCUCCACCACCGAUCUCUCUCCCACUCGCGUCCUGGCUCGACGCAUGAUGAAGCUGGGGAAUGCGCCAGUGGUUCAGAUCAAGGUUCAAUGGGGAGCUGGAGACUCCGCACCUACGACAUGGGAGAAUUAUGAGAUUCUUCGUCAGCGCUUUCCUUCUGCUAAGCUCUGGGAGGAGAAAGACGAUGGCGAUAAGGUUGAAGACGACGAAGACGAUGCUCAGUCUUAA